UACGUAGGGACCAAGCGUUGUUCGGAUUUACUGGGCGUAAAGGGCGCGUAGGCGGCUUAACAAGUCACUUGUGAAAUCUCCGGGCUUAACUCGGAACGGCCAAGUGAAACUGUCAGCUAGAGUGCAGAAGGGGCAAUCGGAAUUCUUGGUGUAGCGGUGAAAUGCGUAGAUAUCAAGAGGAACACCUGAGGUGAAGACGGGUUGCUGGGCUGACACUGACGCUGAGGCGCGAAAGCCAGGGGAGCAAACGGG
rnacentral:rRNA from 1 species